rnacentral:RNase_P_RNA from 1 species
UGAGUAAGCCAGAUAGUCGCAUGUAUAGUGUCGAAAGACCGUACAUGAGGAAAGUCCGGGCUCCAUAGGGCAGGGUGCCGGGUAACUCCCGGUGAAGGCGACUUCAAGGAAAGUGCAACAGAAAUAGACCGCCCUUCUGGAUGUUAGAGAAUGUAGGCUAGAAAUUAGAAAAGGUAUUCCUUUCUAACAUCUAACCUCCAACCUCUAACAUCUAGGAAGGUAAGGAUGGAAAGGUGAGGUAAGAGCUCACCAGCGACAUGGCGACUUGUCGGCUAUGUAAACCCCACCUGGUGCAACACCGUAUAGAGGGAUGUUAAAGCGGCCCGCUAGUCCCGGGUAGGUGGCUUGAGCUCUGUAGAAAUGCAGAGCCUAGAUAGAUGACUAUCAAAUACAGAACCCGGCUUAUAGACUUACUCAGAUA